UACUCUGGUUUAGACAUGAUGAUGAUGAUAGGUGACUCUUGAUUGGUUGACAUUAUGUUUAGACUACAAAAUGACCGUCACUAUUGAACUGGAUAAAUCAACACAUUUGUUUCCAGGUUUGCACAUCUAAAUAGCAAAUAGAACUGGGACAUGCCCCAAAAGCGUUUGUGCCUCUCGUGCAGCACUGCUUGUAUGAUUUAAAGCUACUACAGGGCAUGCCUUUUUAACAUGCUAAAUAAAAUGUAAACCCUGUUUGUACAGAGCAGGAAUCAAAGCAGCAUGUCCAGGGGGACAGAUCCUUUACUGCACUUGCACGGUGUCCAAAAUCCAGAACCAGACUGUGGUACAACGAGCUGUGCACUUGGCUCAAGAGCACGACAACAUCCAUGUUCAGGUUGUGAGCCUGCGACGCCUCACGCACAUGUUUAAGAAAACUUUUCACUUUGCUCCUGAUGUCCACCUGGGUGAGCUGGUCUUCCCACACCUAGCUGCUAACUUUGGACCCAUCUACAUGUGCAAACUGCAGAGACUAACUUAGACUUUGGACCGUGAGUCAGUUCCAGCCCAAAGCUGUGGGAGAUGUGUGAACACUUAAUGUUGGUACUCUUCACUUUCUGUCUGCAUGUCAGCAGAUGUCAUAUUGGAACUGGUGAAGAACUUCAUUGAUGCUCACUGGUGAAACAUUGGACUGCAGUCUGAAGGGCCGCACUGGUCAUUUUGGCGUUAAAUAUAUAUGUACACGUUAUAUCGUGGAAUAAGUUUUCAAAAAACAAUAAAUUGUAAAUUUGUUACAAGCAAAGUGUC